UCAAGCUAGGAAGGGCACACGGUGGAUGCCUUGGCGUCGAGAGGCGAUGAAGGACGUGGACAGCUGCGAAAAGCUUCGGGGAGUGGCUAACACACUUUGAUCCGAAGAUAUCCGAAUCGGGAAACCGUCUGGGGUAAUACCCAGAAGUCCAACGCUGAAUACAUAGGCGUUGGAUAGCCAACCCAGGGAACUGAAACAUCUAAGUACCUGGAGGAAAAGACAUCAACCGAGACUCCCCUAGUAGCGGCGAGCGAACGGGGACUAGCCUAAACCAUAUCAAUGUAAGCUUAGGGGCGUUGUUGAUAUGGGGUCGUGGGUCCAGUGGGAGAGCGCCCUAAUGCUCUCACAGAGUUACAAAACCAAAUGUUAGAUGAACGAUCUGGAAAGGUCGGCGAUACGAGGUGACAGCCCUGUAGUCGAAAGCGUUUGGUCUCUGCACUGGUACCCGAGUACCACGGGGCACGUGGAAUCCUGUGGGAAUCUGGGAGGACCAUCUUCCAAGGCUAAGUACUACUCGACGACCGAUAGUGAACAAGUACCGUGAGGGAAAGGUGAAAAGCACCCCGGCAAGGGGAGUGAAAUAGUACCUGAAACCGUGUGUCUACAAGCAGUCGAAGCACUAUGCCCUUCGGGGAAUGUGCGACGGCGUACCUUUUGCAUAAUGGGCCUACGAGUUACGCUUUGUUGCAAGGUUAAGCCGAUAGGUGAAGCCGCAGGGAAACCGAGUCCAAAUAGGGCGAAAUUAGUAGCAGGGCGUAGACCCGAAACCGAGCGAUCUAUCCUUGGGCAGGUUGAAGCGUGAGUAAAAUUGCGUGGAGGACCGAACCCACUGAAGUUGAAAAUUCAGGGGAUGACCUGAGGAUCGGAGUGAAAGGCUAAUCAAGCUCGGAGAUAGCUGGUUCUCCGCGAAAUAUAUUGAGGUAUAGCGUCUAGUGAAUUGCGCCGGAGGUAGAGCACUGGAUGGGCUAGGGGUCCUACCAGAUUACCAAACCCAACCAAACUCCGAAUGCCGGUGACAACUGCUAGGCAGUCAGGCUGCGGGUGAUAAGGUCCGUAGCCAAGAGGGAAAGAGCCCAGAUCGACAGCUAAGGUCCCUAAUCCACACUAAGUGUGAAAGGAUGUGGGGGCGCUCAGACAGCCAGGAGGUUGGCUUAGAAGCAGCCAUCCUUUAAAGAAAGCGUAACAGCUCACUGGUCGAGCGAACCCGCGCCGAAAAUGUAACGGGGCUAAGUGUGGUACCGAAGCUUCGGGUUCUAAUUUAUUAGAGCGGUAGCGGAGCAUUCUCACGCAGAUACAAGGUGUACCGUAAGGAGCACUGUCGGGCGUGAGAAGAGCUUAUGUAGGCAUGAGUAGCGAUAAAGAGGGUGAGAAACCCUCUCGCCGUAAGCCCAAGGUUUCCCAGGGAAGAAUAAUUCUCCUGUGGGUUAGUCGGCCCCUAAGUGGAGCCCGAAAGGGGUACACGAUGGGAAGCAGGUUAAUAUUCCUGCACCACUAAGGAAUCCAUUGAUCUAAGCAGGGACGGAGAAGGAUAGGCCGAUCGGGCGAAUGGAAGUGCCCGUUCAAGCAGGUAGGAGGUUCCCGUAGGAGGCGAUAGCCACAAACGCGGGAACAUUACUCCGAGACGUGAUGAGGUGGAGCUCCGGCUCCGUAACUCGGUGAUUCCAUGCUUCCAAGAAAAGCUGCGUAGUGAGGAUCUUUAGUGACCGUACCGCAAACCGACUCAGGUGGGCGGGGUGAGAAUCCCAAGGCGCGUGAGAGAACACUGGCUAAGGAACUCGGCAAAUUGACACCGUAACUUCGGGAGAAGGUGUGCCCGUGCUCGUGAUGAGACUUGCUCUCUGAGCGGGUGUGGGUUGCAGAGAAUAGAGGGUUGCGACUGUUUACCAAAAACACAGGACUCUGCGAACUUGUAAGAGGACGUAUAGGGUCUGACGCCUGCCCGGUGCUGGAAGGUUAAGAGGAGUUGUUAGCUUCGGCGAAGCAGUGAAUCGAAGCCCCAGUAAACGGCGGCCGUAACUAUAACGGUCCUAAGGUAGCGAAAUUCCUUGUCGGGUAAGUUCCGACCUGCACGAA
rnacentral:rRNA from 1 species